AAUAGAUACCCGGUAGUCCACGCCGUAAACGAUGAGUGCUAAGUGUUGGGGGGUUUCCGCCCCUCAGUGCUGCAGCUAACGCAUUAAGCACUCCGCCGUGGGGAGUACGGUCGCAAGACUGAAACUCAAAGGAAUUGACGGGGGCCCGCACAAGCGGUGGAGCAUGUGGUUUAAUUCGAAGCAACGCGAAGAACCUUACCAGGUCUUGACAUCCCGGUGACCACUAUGGAGACAUAGUUUCCCCUUCGGGGGCAACGGUGACAGGUGGUGCAUGGUUGUCGUCAGCUCGUGUCGUGAGAUGUUGGGUUAAGUCCCGCAACGAGCGCAACCCUUAUUCUUAGUUGCCAUCAUUCAGUUGGGCACUCUAAGGAGACUGCCGGUGAUAAACCGGAGGAAGGUGGGGAUGACGUCAAAUCAUCAUGCCCCUUAUGACCUGGGCUACACACGUGCUACAAUGGACGGUACAAACGGGUUGCCAACCCGGCGAGGGGGGAGCCGUAAUCCGGAUAAAACCGGUUCUCAGUUCGGAUUGUAGGCUGCAACUCGCCUACA
rnacentral:rRNA from 1 species